rnacentral:lncRNA from 1 species
AUGAUCUUGGCUCCACUGGUCACUUUUAUUUCUCUCAAUGUCUCAUCCUUAGGAACAACCCCCGUAUGCAUGACUUUCUGCAUGGUAGGUGGGAGACCUGGAUUCAAGUGGAUCUUCUGUUCCAGCUCAGAGCCUACGCUGUCCAGUGGGAACUUCACAUCUUGCUCCAUCUUGUUCCAGAUGAUCCACAGGUCCUCCAGCUCCUUGCCCAAGCCGCAGCCUGUGUCCUCGCCAUUGCUGACUGAAGCCUGGGCUGUAGGGUCCUCAGGGGGCCUGGGCUGGGGCCGGUGCAGGAGUCCCCAGCUGUUGCCCCAGCUGCCAUUUCUAUCUUUACGCAGGUCCUGGAGGCAUAAUGAAAGGGAAAAUGCUGAAGUCCCCCAUUCCAAGCGUUCCUGACGCCUGCACCUGCUGUAUAUCAUGCUGAUGGGUGCUGCUGUGCAGGUGAAUUGAUUGUCAUUGGAAGGACCUGUAGCUGUGGGAGGGAGUAGGGUGGAGGUGAAGGAAAAGUGACAGGACCAGGAGAGCAAGAGUGUUGAAGUGUUAAGAAAAAUUUGAAGAAAUUAGAGAUUGGAGAAGAGUAUUUUAUUCAAUGUCCUAUAGAAGCAGAGCUGGACUCUGCCUCUGCCUACUUAACCCCAUAUUCAGAUUGAAGGCAAGUAUGUGCUGAGGCAGGAACAUGGACACUAUAUUUGGACAGAGCUUGGUCAGAUACCAACUCAGCUCCCCUCAGGAUCUCCAUGGCCUUAGGUACCCCACCUAACACUCUGAUUUGGGGUCAUUAUUACCUCUCUUAGAGUGUCAUUGGGAGGAACAAAUA